rnacentral:rRNA from 1 species
GAUUAACGCUGGCGGCGUGCCUAACACAUGCAAGUCGAACGAGGUAGCAAUACCUAGUGGCAGACGGGUGAGUAACGCGUGGUCAACCUACCGUUGAGUGGGGGAUAACUAGCCGAAAGGUUAGCUAAUACCGCAUACGUCUCCGAGGGGCAUCCCUUGGCGAUAAAAGGAGCAAUCCGCUCGAUGACGGGACCGCGUCCCAUUAGCUAGAUGGUGGGGUAACGCCUACCAUGGCACCGAGGGUAGCUGGUUUGAGAGAGCGACCAGCCACACUGGGACUGAGAAACGGCCCAGACUCCUACGGGAGGCAGCAGUGAGGAAUUUUCCGCAAUGGGCGCAAGCCUGACGGAGCGACGCCGCGUGUGGGAAGAAGGCCUUC